AGCUUUGUGCAGUUGCAGUAUUAUAGCCAAUGAGGUUUAUCCAAGGCAUGAUUAUUGCUAAUUAAAAACUUGUUCCAACACCUGCCAUGAUGACUUGCAAUAUAGUCAGCAUUGGCAAUUUUUGAUGGUCCCUACAGGGA
rnacentral:snRNA from 1 species